rnacentral:rRNA from 1 species
UACGUAGGGUGCGAGCGUUGUCCGGAAUUACUGGGCGUAAAGAGCUCGUAGGUGGUUUGUCGCGUUGUCCGUGAAAACUCACAACUCAAUUGUGGGCGUGCGGGCGAUACGGGCAGGCUCGAGUUCGGUAGGGGAGACUGGAAUUCCUGGUGUAGCGGUGAAAUGCGCAGAUAUCAGGAGGAACACCGGUGGCGAAGGCGGGUCUCUGGUCCAGUACUGACACUCAAGUGCGAAAGCGUGGGGAGCAAACAGG